rnacentral:rRNA from 1 species
UCGCGCUGGAAGCGAGACACGGUCACGACUCCUACGGGAGGCAGCAGUGGGGAAUAUUGGACAAUGGGCGAAAGCCUGAUCCAGCCAUGCCGCGUGUGUGAAGAAGGUCUUCGGAUUGUAAAGCACUUUAAGUUGGGAGGAAGGGCAGUUACCUAAUACGUGAUUGUUUUGACGUUACCGACAGAAUAAGCACCGGCUAA